GACGAACGCUGGCGGCGUGCCUAAUACAUGCAAGUAGAACGCACAGAUUAUACCGUAGCUUGCUACACCAUAGACUGUGAGUUGCGAACGGGGGAGUAACGCGUAGGUAACCUGUCUGGGAGCGGGGGAUAACUAUUGGAAACGAUAGCUAAUACAGCAUAAUAUUAAUUAUUGCAUGAUACUUAAUUGAAAGGUGCAAUUGCACCACUACCAGAUGGUCCUGCGUUGUAUUAGCUAGUAGGUGAGGUAACGGCCCACCUAGGCGACGAUUCAUAGCCUAGCUUGGGAGGUGGUCGGCCAAAAUGGGAACGGGGAACGGCCCAGGCUUCUUCGGGGAGCAGCAGGUGGGAAAUAUCGGCAAAGGGGGGAAGUCUGGACCAACAAAUACGCGUGGGUUGAAGAAGUUUUCGGGGUGUAAAAGUCUUUUUUUUGGGAAAGACGGGUAGCAGGGUAAAAAGUUCACGCUCUGACGGUAUCUAACCAAAAAGCGACGGCUAACUACGUG
rnacentral:rRNA from 1 species